AGAGCUGCCGCCAUUUUGCGGGAAGAGGAGCUGCUCUACCUGCAGUGCUGCUUUUCUUGCCUAGACUCUAGGAAAUAUCCGAGCUCCACUCCCCACAACAUACUCAAAGGAACGGAGAGAACUGGGACCCCCCUGCGGGGACCCGGAACUGAUCUGACAGGAUGGCAUCUGAUGACUUUGAUAUAGUGAUUGAGGCCAUGCUGGAAGCUCCCUAUAAAAAAGAAGAGGAUGAGCAACAAAGGAAAGAAGUUAAAAAGGAUUAUCCUAGCAAUACCACCAGCAGCACCAGCAACAGUGGCAAUGGGACCAGUGGAAGCAACACCAUCGGGGAGACAAGCAAAAUGUACUCUCUUUCACAGGAAGAAGAGGAGUCGGACCCAUAGUAAAAGCAGGGAUAGAAAGCACAGUCGUAGUCGAGAUCGGGAUCGGUAUAGACGGAGAAAUAGUCGGAGCCGAAGUCGAGGUCGGCAGCGUCGUCACCGUAGCCGUAGCUGGGAUCGUCGACAUAGUAGUGAGUCGCGAAGUCGAGACCGUCGUCGUGAGGAUUGUGUGCGUUACAGGAGUCCUCCACUUGC
rnacentral:sRNA from 1 species